UAUAUGUUUUAAUGUCUUUUUCUUAAAUCUCACAUCUCUUUUUUUGGUCUGAAGAACCGGAUUCCAGAACAUCCGGAACCGGUUAAAAAGUGUCCCCUUGUGGCCGGAUAACAUACAACAUGAUCGCGAAGUUCAUACAUCAUCAAACUGAUGUAAUUUGAUGUGCCGCAUGACAGGCAUAUUCACCAAAAAUGUUUGGUCCGAGGAACCGGAUUUCGGAAAUUGCGGAACCGGUCGAAAAGUGUCCCCUUGUGGCCGGAUGACACAAAACGUGAUCGCAAUGUUCAUAGAUGAUCAAACUGAUAUAAUUUGAUGUGCCGUAUGACAGACAUAUUUACCAAAAAUGUUUGGUCCGAAGAACCGGAGUCCGGAACAUCCGGAACCGGUUGAAAAGUGUCCCCUUGUGGCCGGAUUACAUACGACGUGAUCCCAAUGUCCAUAGAUCAUCAAACUUAUGUAAUUUGAUGUGCCGCAUGACAGGCAUAUUCACCAAAAAUGUUUGGUCCGAAGGCAUAUUCACCAAAAAUGUUUGGUACUCUUGUGGCUGGAUGACAAACAACGUGAUCGCAAUGUUCAUAGAUCAUCAAACUGAUGUAAUCUGAUGUACCGCAUGACAGGCAUAUUCACCAAAAAAAUUUGGCUCGAAGAACCGGAUUCCGGAACAUCCAGAACCGGUCGUAAAGUGUCCCCUUGUGGCCGGAUGACAUACAACAUGAUCGCAUAGUUCAUACAUCAUCAAACUGAUGUAAUUUGAUGUGCCGCAUGACAGGCAUAUUUACCAAAAAUGUUUGUUCCGAAGAACCGGAUUCCGGGAAUAUCCGGAUGCAAUCCUAAAGUAUCCUCGUAUGUCAAGAUGAGCUAAAACAAGAUUACAUUGUUCAUACAUCAUCACGGCGAUGUAAUUUGAUGCGCCGCAUGACAGGUAUGUUUUUUUUUUCAAUUAUUUCAUAGAUAAAGCUUACUGUUUCCGGAAAUCCGUUCCAGGAAAUAUCUCGGAAUCGGUUCUUGGAUGUCCCGGAUGCUUCCGAAAGGGUCCAGGAAUAGUCUAUGAUUAUCAAUUUGCUUGUGUAUUUUUCCUGAAAACUUCUAAUAUUUGAUAUGCCUUUUGUUCAAGAUAGCGAAGGGUUUGUGUAUAAGUUUUUGUAAGGAGUGAUAUAUCAAAGUAGGCACUGACUCAGUUGCGUGAUAGAAUGGAUAGUCAAUCGCCUCACAUUUGGAGCCAGAUCGUUCUCGAGCAAUCUGCCAGGUUACUAUCAAAACUUCAAAUGAAGCUCAACAACCGAUUCUGAAAUCGAUUGAGCUCGGUAACUUUUGGUUAGUGUGGUAGCACCAUCGACCUACCCCUUGACGAUGCGGAAGGUAAUGCGAACGACUAACCCCUUGGAUAGCGAAGGCGAGUGGGGGAUCCCUUGAGGAGCCUGAGAACGACAGCAACGGUAUUCAUUAUAGUAUACUAGAGAGUAAAGGUAGUCAUCGAAGAAAAUAAAAGUAUAAUCCUCUAUCAAACAAGUGGUAUUAUUUCGUGAGUUCCACAAACUGGCGACGAGGCUAGAGAAGCCAGAGAGUUUAUUUUUAUGUUUACAUCUAGAAGGUGAGAAAUAUAUUUGUUUUAAAUUUAAUUAUUCACAAUGCCAGCACAUGGCGUUAUUUGAGGUUAUGUGGCAAAUAAAAAAAAAUUAUU